rnacentral:lncRNA from 1 species
AAAAACUAGGCACCAUCUUCUGAAGCUUGGACAAGCUAGGAUGUCCUAAACGACUGUGAAGUAGGUCUGGAGGAUCUGCAACUAGACAGGCCUUUGGAGGAUUUUAGUGAGUUAAGGUAGUAGAGUCCUUCUGAUUCAAAUCAUGUUCCAAUCGUCUGUCCCGUACUGCGGUCCUGCAUAAUAAAAGAAUCAUCAAUAAAAUAUAUACCGCAAUGUAGGGCACGAGUCAAACGACUAACAGAUGCAAGAUAAAAAGGUCAGCCAGGGACAUAAAGAACGGAAUCUAGAGUGACAGAGGGUAGGGGAUUCACUUGUCCAAUUCCUUUUGAUUUAGUUUGAGACUCAUUGGCUAAAGUAAUGUUGGGAAGAAACUUUGAAUAUGCAAUAUUUGACAAAAGGGAUUUAAUACCAGAGAUAUGAUCAGAAGCAGCUCAGUUCACAACCCAUUGUUCAAGAAGACUAGA